rnacentral:rRNA from 1 species
AGUGAACGCUGGCGGUAGGCCUAACACAUGCAAGUCGAACGGCAGCACAGUAAGAGCUUGCUCUUACGGGUGACGAGUGGCGGACGGGUGAGGAAUACAUCGGAAUCUACUUUUUCGUGGGGGAUAACGUAGGGAAACUUACGCUAAUACCGCAUACGACCUACGGGUGAAAGCAGGGGAUCUUCGGACCUUGCGCGAUUGAAUGAGCCGAUGUCGGAUUAGCUAGUUGGCGGGGUAAAGGCCCACCAAGGCGACGAUCCGUAGCUGGUCUGAGAGGAUGAUCAGCCACACUGGAACUGAGACACGGUCCAGACUCCUACGGGAGGCAGCAGUGGGGAAUAUUGGACAAUGGGCGCAAGCCUGAUCCAGCCAUACCGCGUGGGUGAAGAAGGCCCUCGGGUUGUAAAGCCCUUUUGUUGGGAAAGAAAAGCAGCAGGUUAAUACCCCGCUGUUCUGACGGUACCCAAAGAAUAAGCACCGGCUAACUUCGUG